rnacentral:rRNA from 1 species
GAUGAACGCUGACAGAAUGCUUAACACAUGCAAGUCUUUGGCGAAGCUGUGCUUGCACAGCCUAGCCAAGGCGGACGGGUGAGUAACGCGUAAGGAACUUGCCCUGCAGUCAGGGAUAACAGACGGAAACGACUGAUAAGACCUGGUAAAGUCAGGCGGACUCAUGUCCAGCCUGAUGAAAAGAGAUGCUGCGGGAGAGCCUUGCGUCCUAUUAGCUUGUUGGUGGGGUAACGGCCCACCAAGGCGAUGAUAGGUAGCCGGCCUGAGAGGGUGGACGGCCACAAGGGGACUGAGAUACGGCCCUUACUCCUACGGGAGGCAGCAGUGGGGAAUAUUGGACAAUGGGGGCAACCCUGAUCCAGCAAUUCUGUGUGCACGAUGAAGGUUUUCGGAUUGUAAAGUGCUUUCAGCAGGGAAGAAAAAAAUGACGGUACCUGCAGAAGAAGCGACGGCUAAAUACGUG